CGUCGAGUGGCGGACGGGUGAGUAAUACUUAGGAAUCUACCCAGUAGCGGGGGACAACACGGGGAAACUCGUGCUAAUACCGCAUACGCCCUACGGGGGAAAGUGGAGGAUCUUCGGACUUCACACUAUUGGAUGAGCCUAAGUCGGAUUAGCUUGUUGGUGGGGUAAUGGCCUACCAAGGCGACGAUCCGUAGCUGGUCUGAGAGGACGAUCAGCCACACUGGGACUGAGACACGGCCCAG
rnacentral:rRNA from 1 species